UACGAAGGGGGCUAGCGUUGCUCGGAAUUACUGGGCGUAAAGGGCGCGUAGGCGGCUUAGUUAGUCAGGCGUGAAAUUCCUGGGCUCAACCUGGGGACUGCGCUUGAUACGGCUAGGCUAGAGGAUGGAAGAGGGUCGCGGAAUUCCCAGUGUAGAGGUGAAAUUCGUAGAUAUUGGGGUGAACACCGGUGGCGAAAGCGGCUCUCUGGCCCGGUUCUGACGCUGAGGGCGCGAAAGC
rnacentral:rRNA from 1 species